rnacentral:tRNA from 2 species
GGUCCUACGGUAGAAGAACGUUAAAUUGCAAAUUUAAAGAUGUGCAAAAGCACUGGGGCUU